GACGAACGCUGGCGGCGUGCUUAACACAUGCAAGUCGAACGGGCCUUGUCCCCUUUUUUUUUGGGGGUGGGGUUAGUGGCGAACGGGCGAGUAACACGUGAGUAACCUGCCCCUCACUUCUGGAUAACCGCUUGAAAGGGUGGCUAAUACGGGGUGUUCUGGCCUGCUCGCAUGGGUGGGUUUGGAAAGAUUCGACCGGUUUGGUUGUUUUGGUGGGGGAUGGGCUCGCGGCCUAUCAGCUUGUUGGUGGGGUGAUGGCCUGCCAAGGCUUUGACGGGUAGCCGGCCUGAGAGGGUGGGCGGUCACACUGGGACUGAGACACGGCACAGACUCCUACGGGAGGCAGCAGUGGGGAAUAUUGCACAAUGGGCGCAAGCCUGAUGCAGCGACGCCGCGUGAGGGAUGGAGGCCGUCGGGUUGUGAACCUCUUUCGCCAGUGAAGAAGGUCCUGCUCUUUGUGGUGGGGUUGACGGUAGCUGGGUUAAUGAAGCGCCGGCUAACUACGUG
rnacentral:rRNA from 1 species